rnacentral:rRNA from 1 species
UGAGUAAAGUAUCGGAACGUGCCCAGUCGUGGGGGAUAACGUAGCGAAAGUUACGCUAAUACCGCAUACGAUCUAUGGAUGAAAGCGGGGGAUCGCAAGACCUCGCGCGAUUGGAGCGGCCGAUAUCAGAUUAGGUAGUUGGUGGGGUAAAGGCUCACCAAGCCGACGAUCUGUAGCUGGUCUGAGAGGACGACCAGCCACACUGGGACUGAGACACGGCCCAGACUCCUACGGGAGGCAGCAGUGGGGAAUUUUGGACAAUGGGCGAAAGCCUGAUCCAGCCAUGCCGCGUGCAGGAUGAAGGCCUUCGGGUUGUAAACUGCUUUUGUACGGAACGAAAAGGUUUGGCCUAAUAAGCUGAGCUCAUGACGGUACCGUAAGAAUAAGCACCGGCUAACUACGUGCCAGCAC